UAANGUAUGCUUUGGAAACUGUUAGACUNGAGUGCAAAAGGGGAGAGUGGAAUUCCAUGUGUAGCGGUGAAAUGCGUAGAUAUAUGGAGGAACACCGGUGGCGAAAGCGGCUCUCUGGUCUGUCACUGACGCUGAGGCUNGAAAGCGUGGGUAGCGAACAGGAUUAGAUACCCUGGUAGUNCACGCCGUAAACGCUGAGUGCUAGGUGUUAGGUCCUUUCCGGGACUUAGUGCCGACGCUAACGCAUUAAGCACUCCGCCUGGGGAGUACGACCGCAAGGUUGAAACUCAAAGGAAUUGACGGGGGCCCGCACAAGCGGUGGAGCAUGUGGUUUAAUUCGAAGCAACGCGAAGAACCUUACCAGGUCUUGACAUCCCGAUGCCCGCUCUAGAGAUAGAGUUUUACUUUUUGUACAUCGGAGACAGGUGGUGCAUGGUUGUCGUCAGCUCGUGUCGUGAGAUGUUGGGUUAANNNNNNNAACGAGCGCAACCCUUAUUGUUAGUUGCCAUCAUUAAGUUGGGCACUCUAGCGAGACUGCCGGUAAUAAACCGGAGGAAGGUGGGGAUGAUGUCAAAUCAUCAUGCCCCUUAUGACCUGGGCUACACACGUGCUACAAUGGUUGGUACAACGAGUCGCAAGCCGGUGACGGCAAGCUAAUCUCUGAAAGCCAAUCUCAGUUCGGAUUGUAGGCUGCAACUCGCCUACAUGAAGUCGGAAUCGCUAGUAAUCGCGGAUCAGCACGCCGCGGUGAAUACGUUCCCGGGCCUUGUNC
rnacentral:rRNA from 1 species